ensembl:snRNA U6 U6 spliceosomal RNA
GUGCUCACUUCGGCAUCACAUAUACUGAAAUUGGAAUGAUACAGAGAAGAUUAGCGUGGGACCUGUGCAAGGAUGACAGGCAAAUUCGUGAAGCGUUGCAUAUUUGA